rnacentral:rRNA from 1 species
UACGUAGGCAGCGAGCGUUUGUUCGGAAUUACUGGGCGUAAAGAGUGUGUAGGCGGUGCUCUAAGUUCGGUGUGAAAUCUCCUGGCUCAACUGGGAGGGUGCGCCGGAAACUGGAGUGCUUGAGCGUGGGAGAGGAAAGCGGAAUUCCUGGUGUAGCGGUGAAAUGCGUAGAUAUCAGGAGGAACACCUGUGGUGUAGACGCUUUCUGGACCAUAGCUGACGCUGAGACACGAAAAGCGUGGGGUAGCAAACAGG